ACCUGCCUCUGCCUCCCAAGUGCUGGGAUUAAAGGCGUGUGCCACCACCGCCUGAUGUAAAAAUUGUUUUAGCCAGUCAUGGGGACACAUACCUUUAAUAUCAGCACUUGAGAGGCAGAGGCUGGCAGAUCUCUGUGAGUUCGAGGCCAGCCUGGUCUAUAGAGUGGAUUCCAGGCCAGCCAGAGCUACAUAAAUAAAUGAAAUAAAAAUUGUUUUUAAAGGUUUAUUUUCUGUUAUGCGUAUGAAUGUUUAGGCUGCAUGUAUGUCUGUGUACCACCCGCCCAUGGAAACCAGAAUGUGCUGGAUCCGCUGCAGCUGGCCUUUGAGAUGGUUGUGAGCCGCCAUGUGUGUGCUGAGAAUUGAACUCCAAUCCUCUGCAAGAGGAACCAGUGCUCUUAACCACUGAGCCGCCUCUCCACCCCCCAUUUUCCUUUGCUUAAUUUCUUUUAAAGGCAGCAUUUAAAAAUUAUUUUAUCAGUUUGUGUGGGUGGGUGUUUUACCUAAAUGUUUGUGCACCACCUGUGUGUGUGUGUGUGUGUGUGUGUGUGUGUGUGUGGUGACCUGAGAGGCAAAGAGGGCAUAGUGCCCCUGGAACAGGAGUUGUGAACCACUGUCAGUGUGGGUGUCAGGAACAGAAUGUGGGUGUUUUUAACUGCUGAACUAUCUCUCUAACCCCACAAUAAAGACUUUUUGUCUGUCUGUCUGUCUCCUUGUGGUGUAUGGAACGAUGUGUACAUGUGUGGGCGUUGCAGAGGCCAGAGGAGGGUAUCUGGUGCCCUCUCUUAUCCUCCACUUAUUCCUUCUGAGGCAGCGUCUCCCUGAGGUCACAUUUUGCCAGCUUGACUGGACUCCAGCAGGCCCCAGCAGUCCUCCCCGUCAGGCCUGCAUGGGAUGCCUGCCUGGUUCCAUGAGGCCUGGGACCCAAACCCUGUUCCUCCUGUUGCACAGCAAGCACGCGGCGCCACCUCUGGGCCAUUGCUCCAGUCUCAGUGAAGGACCUUAUUUCUUCCCCUCUCUCCCUAACCUCCCGCCCUU
rnacentral:lncRNA from 1 species